UGGUCAUUUCCUUGCCGCAACUGCACAGAAUUGGCAAAAAUAAGUCGCGCACACAAAUGUGUACACCGUGACUGAAGGGAGUGUCAAUAUGAGCUUGAGAGUGCGAAUAUUUAUUUACAGGAAAGCAAACGGCUCAGCCUGAGCCAUUGCGCUCUCACCUACUUUUCUGCUCACAACAUGAGUUGGUAACUGUUAUAAUAGGGCUGACUCCACACGUUGCUUGCAUUUGUUGAAAUCAAUUUUUUUCUCCAUGUAAGUGUUCUUGUAGUAUUUGAGCCCACUUAAUGGUAAAGUCACGACAGCAGAAGCUUUCCUUGUUUUUCUUUUGCCAAUUUGUUAGCAUAGCAGCACAUACUGUGCAGUUUAUUCUAUUAUCCAGCCAUGCUUUGUACUAAUAGAGUAUACAACAGCUCUGGACGAUUUUGGAAAAUGUAAUGAAACACGGAAACUGCCUUUUAGCAUUAAGCACGUGGAAACUUUAAGUUUGUCGCUUCAUCUGUCAACCUAGAGCCUUCAUUUUUCAUAGUAAUAAUACAUAGGUACAACACAACAAUAUAGGCAAGCUUUCAAUUUAACCGAAAUUUUCAUUGUCCUAUUAAAUGGGACAUGUCGCCACUAUACCGCAACUUUAUUGGCGUUAAAUUUCGUUUUGACAUUCUUGUCCAUGUGCUAAAUUCUCUUUUGGACAGUUUUUUUCACAGCCUGCAAGCACAACUUCAGCAAUGCGUAACCUUUAUCUGCAUGAGAGACAGGUCAGGACUUAGUGGCAUUGUUCUUUGACGUAGUGAAUGUUAUGUAAGGAAUUAGGAACCAGCAGUGAGUAGCACUUUGCAGCACUACUUAACAACACAGACACGCUACUUAAGCAUUCCGAGGUCUAGUGGCAGCCACCAAGUGACAUUUUUCCACUGAUUCAUGUAAUAAAUUAUGGCAUGCACCCUGUUUUUGGUAGCUCUUUGAACUAGUGCAUACAGCUUUCUGCUAUCACGUAGCUGCAGUAAUAGUAUAUGUUCAUGGAAUGACUGGGAGCGCUGUGUUCUUUACCGUCACAUUUCAGUACAUAUGGCAUCACGUGUACUGAUCACAAAGACCUCUAGACAACAACACCUAAUUUGAUAACCUACACAGUGCACUUGAGCUUCAUAUAUCAUGUCAGCUGCAUGCCUAUUUGCAUGAUUGCAAGGAGGCAUGCAGUCAGCAACAGGGAUGACUGCAGUUACCUGUAUCUUAAAUGAAUAUUCACUUAAUGUACGUCACUUCAACUGUCUUGCACUGUUCUGCACAAGUCGACUUGCAUAUGUGAUGCUGCUAGCUAAUAUCUGGUAAUAAUAAUCCUUGUUUUCUCAGUGACAGCUAGCCUCCAUGGGGUGGUGCAGACAGGCGAGUGUCAUUGCUGGGGCACCUCCAGGCUAUCCACAGGAAAUGGAACAUGAAGGCAGCUGCUAACAUGUUUUCAUGAAGCCCAUGCCACCACAUGAAGCACAUCAUACAGUCGUUGCUUGCGUUGAAGUUUGUAGCUGGAAUGCCCUGCUUCCUUUUAAGUUGGCGAGCCUCCUUCUAUAUCAUUUAAAUUUACACAGCACAGCUGUGUAUCCAGAGGCUUCUGAGAUACAAAACUGCUAUUUCAACUUGCGGGUAAAAAUCAGUCUUCGGUCAGCGGAAAUUCCUGCUUGCCUUGCUGGUAGCAUUCAGCUUUUCAUGUGGUGGUCUCUAACGGCAGAUGUGUACUUUGUUGACGCUGAAGUGCCUGCUCAAUGAACGACUGCCACUAUACAAAGCAUGUUGAAAUGCUUUGAGCUUAAAGCAGGUGCUGUAGCUUGCUCACGAUCUCAUUUGGCACGCCAGCAGUGUAAUCACUCCAUGCAUGCGUGGCAUGACCCGUCGAGACUGACAAAAAAAACGCGGAAAAAUACUAGCUUUAUGCAUAUAGCGCUAGAUAGCUCCAGUGCUGGUACUGCCACUGGCAUUCACAGCUGGCCAUUAUCAUCAGCCAAAGUCAAAACCAGGUCACCUGUUGCAGUGCGGAGUUGCAAGUACGGUCAUUGUGUAGGAGGGGGGGGGGAGGGGAUAUGUGAAUUUGUAUUGUGUGCAUACUUACGGUGUGUGCACAAUAAAUAAUUAACCAAGCAGGUACGCAGUAACGUCUAGCUAUUUUGGGAUUAUUGCUGCUAUUCAACAGGGAUCUGUGUAAUGAAAACAGCUUGGUGUGCCUGGCGUACAAUUACUUGAAAAUAUGCAUUUGCUUCCUAUUGACCCUUUGCCAGCCACAAAGCCUGCUUCAAAACAGUAAUAAAUAUUACUUGUACUGCUUUCACCACUUGUUGUUCCUUUAAUAACGUUUAUGCUCAAUUGCUCAACGUUUCUCAGUGUAAUAAUCAACGCAACAAGUAUUGUACUUUAUAGUUUUUCUGUCGUAUGGCAAUAAUGGUUCAUUUGUUUCUGCAGCUGUUGUCACAACGCGGACGACACCGUGUGAAAGGAGGUUAUGGAAAAGAGACUGAAAGCAGUGCACUGGUACCCCUUGUAGCAAUUGGGUAAUGUGCUGUAGUAGUGAACUUUGCAAUAAAGGUUUAUGUCUGCUGA